GAAACAUCUCAGUACCCGCAGGAAGAGAAAACAACAGUGAUUCCGUGAGUAGUGGCGAGCGAAAGCGGAUGGUGGCUAAACCGGUUGUGUGUGAUACCUGGCGAGGGUUGCAUGAUCGGGGUUGUGGGAUGCGUUGUUCCUGGGGUCGCCACCCUGGGCGCUGUGGCGUGGUGGUAGUCGAACUGGUGGUGAGUGCCAGACCGUAGGGGGUGUGAGUCCCGUAGACGAAACUGUCAUUGUCGUGGUGUGACGUUCUCCCGAGUAGCACGGGGCCCGUGAAAUCUCGUGUGAAUCUGCCAGGACCACCUGGUAAGCCUGAAUACUACCUGAUGACCGAUAGCG
rnacentral:rRNA from 1 species